UGUGUGGGUUAAAACAAUUGAAAUAGACCGCCAUACUGAUGAGUUUCAAAGGCGGUAAAUCCCUUUCCAAUCAUUCGAUUCUCUAACUCCUCACCGGCGGAAUUAACGAUAUUUGUCGAAAAUAGUAGUCGCUAAACCUUACCCACCAAGGCGUGUUUAAUAACACAAUUACAGCUGAUGGAACUUGAUAUGUCAAUUAAUUUUUGAUUUCGCCUUAUAAAAAUACGAGUUUCAAAAUAAAUAUUUUAUAAAUUAA